UCUUUCUUUCUUUCUUUCUUUCUUUCUUUCCCUGAAACGAUAAUAUUCUUAAGCUCAGGAAUUAAAAAUUCAAAUAACUGUGGGCGAUUCACAUUCCAUAAAUACGUAAAUAAAAAUACUUAUAUGUGUAUAUGUGUGUUUGUACACCCAUACUUGGUCAGUUGCUUUGUUUGUUGACAGAGUCUGAUACGAGAAAUGCUUCAAUAUCAAGGAGGACCCUAAUUUCCAGACCUUGACUUCAGUUGUCUUUUUGCUCUUACAGUCGAUUGAUGGCAGUCAGGAAGGAUGGCCGAGGAUACGUGCUCACUACACAUCUACUGGUUGACUGGACUUGUGGAAAGCGCUCCCUGAUUUGACAAAAGACUAAUUCAAAGAUGUAGGUGUCCAUCGUCAUUAAGGUCAGCUGAACCUUCCAAGAAUAACAAGUUCGGGGCAGUGUCUCUGGGCUUUGAAGGGGAGAGUUCCAGGCCAGUGUUACAGUUGGCUGUGGUCACUAGCUGGCUCCCUAGUAACGGCACAGUUUGUGCAUUCCAUGGCCAGGAUCCAGAGGGGCAGAAACACCACAGGGGAGCAGAAGUGCAAGCCCCAGGCUCUUGACAUGAACAUUCCUGAUGAUUCUGCUGAAAGACCUCAUUAUUGUCCUGGCAGAUACUGUGAGAACGAAGGCACCAUUUUCAGGAUGGAGAGCUAUGUGCUAUUAAUUCAAUGUUUUUUGAUUACACCAUUAAGUUGGUCGGAGCGUUACAGUUGCUUUUGGGCAUGAGUUCAUCUGGGCAACUUCUCCCAAUCCAAGGAGUANAGUGCCACAUCCUUAUUUGUUUGCAAGUCUCCUUUUAUUUUAAUUAUGACAANAUAACCAGGUGCAGAANAGUAUUUUUUGGGGGGGUUCCAUAUAUAUUUUAGGCACGGGGUAGGAAAGAACACAGGACAAUAACUUGAUUUUGUUAUCCUUUCCACUUAAGAUCAUCUGGCAAAGAAUAAUAUAACUUAAGUCAACAUGAGAUUCUUCCUUGAGAUGUAAGGAAUAACUUCUACAGGCUAUUGAGAAGACCUCCACCUAAGAAGCCCUGGGAGAGGGAUUAGGUCUAUUUGUCCUAAGAGAGACUAACAGGAUGACUCCUUUUGGCCAAGAUACUGACACACCCUGUAAGGAACAUCAUUUCAAUGAUUUGACUUUUC
rnacentral:sRNA from 1 species